AGGAAUUUGCGUGUGGGCCUAGGCUGAAAAUCCCAAUCCAGCAUCUGCUUUGUCCAUGGGGUGUAAGUGUGAAACGAGGUGUACAAGAGUAGUUCACUGGGCUUGGAAUGUCCAAAGCCCAAUCACCACCAAAUCCAACACCAGGGGUGUUGACUGGCCAAGUCAACCAAUUUGAAAACUGGACUUCACGCGCAGGCUACCGUUACACUUCAAAGUCUCAGGUCAAAAUACCACCACCAACCACCGCGCCGGAGGUCGCCUCUGACGAUGGUGGAGCACCAAAAUGUAAAUCGAACCCGCCAAAAGAAUCGUGGCAAUGAACUAAAUACCAAACCAGGUCUAAAUUCAUAAGAAAAUCACUCAAGGAUGCAAACCGAGGAGAUUGAGCUCAAGAACCAUAACCAACCCAUAUCAAAUUGAAUACUAAUGGACUUUCGAAACCAGCAAUAGUCAUUGGGGAAUGACCCAAAGCAACAUGGAGAGAAAAAUCGCAUGAAGAAAUUGAUGAUAGGAGAAGUGAAGAUCCUUCCAACGGGGACGUGAUUUCCCUCGGUAAUUGUUGUGACUGAAGCUAAUGAAUGAUGGCACGAGAAACCCAUGUCAAAGCAGCGAAUUCCUUAGGUUAUGCAUCAGAGAUGGAUUGUUGAAUUAUUGAGUGCUGAUGUUGUUGUUGUUAUGCUUCCAGAUUUGGUGUUAUGCCUAGUGGAUAUCUAGCCUUAGAGAAUUAUUUCCAUCCAUGUUGAUGACCAUAUUGUAGGGCAUUGCUUAAACAGGACUGCAUGUUUGUUGGCAAAUUGACAUUGAUGCAGUUCAGUUGUGGCUUUUGCAUUGAAGGAUGCUCAUGGUCACAAGGGAGAAAUGGUGAUGGACCAAGCUACAAGGUUUGGGCAUGUUAUGCUUCCAGUCUCAAUGGUUUGGAUGUGGUUCUGCAGUGUGUUUUAAUUGGCAUGAACUUGGCAGGCAUGGCAUGGACAUGAACAUGAUUGGUCAAAGAUAACUUGCAAAUGAAAAAAUCACGAUGGAACCAAUCAAAUAUGAAUAAUGGAAUGAUGGAUUAGACUUUAAGAUGGGAAUUUAGGUUUUUUGGGACUUUGGUUUACUUUGGUCAAAGUUGACCAAAAAGUCAACUAUUGACCAAAAUCAACAUUUGGUCAACCUUCCCAAUCUUGUAAUUUUCAUAUUUUGAACAUUUUAUGACUAUGUAAUGAAUGAACUUGAUAUGUUUUGAAUGAAUUGGAUUGAAAG